GGAUGAACGCUAGCGGCAGGCUUAAUACAUGCAAGUCGAACGGUAAGUUUGGUAGCAAUACUGAACCAAGAGUGACGUACGGGUGCGUAACACGUAUGCAACCUACCCAAAACAGGAGGAUAGCUCGGGGAAACUCGAAUUAACCCUCCAUAAGAUCAUAGAGUCGCAUUACUUAGUGAUUAAAACUCCGGUGGUUUUGGAUGGGCAUGCGUCUGAUUAGUUAGUUGGCGGGGUAACGGCCCACCAAGACGAUGAUCAGUAGGGGAACUGAGAGGUUGAUCCCCCACACUGGCACUGAGAUACGGGCCAGACUCCUACGGGAGGCAGCAGUAGGGAAUAUUGGUCAAUGGAUGCAAGUCUGAACCAGCCAUGCCGCGUGCAGGAAGAAGGCGUUAUGCGUUGUAAACUGCUUUUGCCAGGGGAUAAAAUAACCUUGCGAGGUUAAUUGAAGGUACCUGGUGAAUAAGCCACGGCUAACUACGUGCCAGCAGCCGCGGUAAUACGUAGGUGGCAAGCGUUGUCCGGAUUUAUUGGGUUUAAAGGGUGCGUAGGCGGCCCUGUAAGUCAGUGCUGAAAUAUCCCGGCUUAACCGGGAGGGUGGCAUUGAUACUGCGGGGCUUGAGUGGAGUCGAAGUAGGCGGAAUUGACGGUGUAGCGGUGAAAUGCUUAGAUAUCGUCAAGAACACCGAUAGUGAAGACAGUUUACUAGGCUUUUACUGACGCUGAGGCACGAAAGUGUGGGGAUCAAACAGGAUUAGAUACCCUGGUAGUCCACACUGUAAACGUUGAUAACUCGCUGUUGGCGAUACACAGCCAGCGGCCAAGCGCAAG
rnacentral:rRNA from 1 species